rnacentral:rRNA from 1 species
UACGUAGGGUGCAAGCGUUAAUCGGAAUUACUGGGCGUAAAGCGUGCGCAGGCGGUUUUGUAAGUCUGUCGUGAAAGCCCCGGGCUCAACCUGGGAAUGGCGAUGGAGACUGCAAGGCUAGAGUUUGGCAGAGGGGGGUGGAAUUCCACGUGUAGCAGUGAAAUGCGUAGAGAUGUGGAGGAACACCGAUGGCGAAGGCGGCUCACUGGACCAUAACUGACGCUGAUGCACGAAAGCUGGGGGAGCAAACAGG